rnacentral:rRNA from 1 species
AUUGAACGCUGGCGGCAUGCUUUACACAUGCAAGUCGAGCGGCAGCGCGGGGGCAACCCUGGCGGCGAGCGGCGAACGGGUGAGUAACACAUCGGAACGUACCCAGGAGUGGGGGAUAGCCCGGCGAAAGCCGGAUUAAUACCGCAUACGAUCUACGGAUGAAAGUGGGGGACCUGAGGGCGACUGAGGGCCUCACGCUUUUGGAGCGGCCGAUGUCCGAUUAGCUAGUGGUGGGGUAAAGGCCUACCAAGGCGACGAUCGGUAGCUGGUCUGAGAGGAUGAUCAGCCACACUGGGACUGAGACACGGCCCAGACUCCUACGGGAGGCAGCAGUGGGAAUUUUGGACAAGUGGGGGAACCCUGAUCCAGCCAUGCCGCGUGC